rnacentral:rRNA from 1 species
CAGUCGCCGCGGUAAUACAGAGGGUGCGAGCGUUAAUCGGAUUUACUGGGCGUAAAGCGUGCGUAGGCGGCUUCUUAAGUCGGAUGUGAAAUCCCUGAGCUUAACUUAGGAAUUGCAUUCGAUACUGGGAAGCUAGAGUAUGGGAGAGGAUGGUAGAAUUCCAGGUGUAGCGGUGAAAUGCGUAGAGAUCUGGAGGAAUACAGAUGGCGAAGGCAGCCAUCUGGCCUAAUACUGACGCUGAGGUACGAAAGCAUGGGGAGCAAACAGGAUUAGAUACCCGCGUAGUCCCUGUCUCUUAUAA